UGGGAAUAUUGCACAAUGGGGGAACCCUGAUGCAGCAACGCCGCGUGAGUGAAGAAGUAUUUCGGUAUGUAAAGCUCUAUCAGCAGGGAAGAAAUGACGGUACCUGACUAAGAAGCACCGGCUAAAUACGUGCCAGCAGCCGCGGUAAUACGUAUGGUGCAAGCGUUAUCCGGAUUUACUGGGUGUAAAGGGAGCGCAGGCGGUCUGGCAAGUCUGAUGUGAAAGCCCGGGCUCAACUCCGGGAUUGCAUUGGAAACUGUCAGACUAGAGUGUCGGAGAGGUAAGUGGAAUUCCUAGUGUAGC
rnacentral:rRNA from 1 species